UACGGAGGGUCCGAGCGUUAAUCGGAAUUACUGGGCGUAAAGCGUGCGCAGGCGGUUUGUUAAGCCAGAUGUGAAAUCCCCCGGGCUCAACCUGGGAAUUGCAUUUGGAACUGGCGAACUAGAGUCUUGUAGAGGGGGUAGGAAUUCCAGGUGUAGCGGUGAAAUAGCGUAGAUAUCUGGAGGAAUACCGGUGGCGAAGGCGGCCCCCCUCGGACAAAGAACUGACGCUCAUGCACGAAAGCGUGGGGAGCAAACAGGAUUAGAUACCCGCGUAGU
rnacentral:rRNA from 1 species